GUAGGUGGCAAGCGUUGUCCGGAAUUAUUGGGCGUAAAGCGCGCGCAGGCGGUUCUUUAAGUCUGAUGUGAAAGCCCACGGCUCAACCGUGGAGGGUCAUUGGAAACUGGAGAACUCGAGUACAGAAGAGGAAAGCGGAAUUCCACGUGUAGCGGUGAAAUGCGUAGAGAUGUGGAGGAACACCAGUGGCGAAGGCGGCUUUCUGGUCUGUAACUGACGCUGAGGCGCGAAAGCGUGGGGGAGCAAACAGGAUUAGAUACCCUGGUAGUCCACGCCGUAAACGAUGAGUGCUAAGUGUUAGGGGGUUUCCGCCCCUUAGUGCUGCAGCUAACGCAUUAAGCACUCCGCCUGGGAGUACGGCCGCAAGGCUG
rnacentral:rRNA from 1 species